GUUCUGUACGUCGACCAGAAGGUUCUCCAAGAACCAAAACCCUAGUUUCACAAAAUCAACCAAAUUGAAGGCCAAAUCGGGCUCGAAUCAAAGGCAUGAAUACAUACAAAUGAUCACCAAGUCAAGGGGAUCAAGAGUUUGACUCUUGACAAGCUAGAUGAAGGCUUGGGAGGAAGCGGGUCAAAUGGAGCAAGUACGAAAAGAAAACGUUGCUUGGAUGCAAG